AUUUGCAAGUUCCUAGAGACAAAUUAUAUCGGGCAUCUUUUCAUAUGGUUAUUUGCCAUCUAUAUACCUUCUAUAGCAGAGAGUUCAAUUUUUUUGCCCAUUUUUAAAUUUAGGUUAAUGGCUUUCUUAUGGAUGAAUUUUAAAACUUCUUUGCAUAUUCAGGAUGUAAGUCUUAUAAAAGUCUCAUAAUUACUUUUUAAUUAAUUCAAAGCCAGCAAUAAUAUAUGGGGCAAUGACAAUUUAAAAAAUUCAUGGUGCCAGUUUUUCAGAAUACAAAGGUGAAAUAUAGUUCUUUUUCAUAAAGAGCUUAUAGGAAAGAGGACGUGAAAAGAAUAAGAGAAAAUAAAAAUGGCUCUUUAAAGAAGAAUAUACAACAUCACAUAAAUGAUAUAGCCAACAAAUUAUACUAGAGUUUAGAGGAAAACAGGAGGGCUUGAGGAAGUUUGAUAAUGUAGGAUAAUAGAAAGAUAGAGCUGCUAAGAUAGUGGAAUAAAAAAAUGUUGAAGUGGUGGUGUUAGGGAAGAAUAAUGGCUAAAUGAUCCUACUUCAGAGAAGAGAGAGAUCGAGGAAGCUGGAAGCUACCUCACCCCUCAGCUUCAGGGGUCAGCUCUGAAUUCACUUGGACUAGAGCAGGACUGUGGAAACAGGCUUGGUCACACUGCUGAUCAUGAAGCUGGAUGGUUCCAGAAGCUUGUGUGUGAGUCACCCUUCCCUCUUAUGAGGUUGUUUGAGUGAAGUCAGAGUGGAUGCUGUUUUGGUGCCAAAUUGAUUCAAGUUCCUAGACCCAAAGUUCCAUAUGAGCCCCUCAAACUCAUCACACUCCACAGCGUCUCCAAAGUAAGUCAAUUACACACCUGGCUAGAGUCUGGAGCCAUAGCUAAGACAGGCUAGGCUCUUCUGCACUGCUUCAGGGGGUACUCACCCCACCCUAUCCCACCCCAGCCAAGACCAUACCUGUUCAGAUUCCAUGGUGCACUGAACUGCAGAAAGUAAGGCAUCCUUUCCCACGGCAAUCUGCGGCUGCAUGAUUUUUGUUUUCCUUAAACCACCUUGACACACAUAUUUGCAAAACUAAGUAUAAGAUUUCCAGCAAGAGACUUGAUUUUGUAGCCCUGUUCCUGCCAUUGACUUCAAGUGAGAGUAGAAACACUCAUGUUCUCUUAGCUUCUAAGACUGGCUGAAGUUCAGAGAAUUAUAAAAUAAUUAAGAAAACUAGAACGGUCUGCCUGCAAGCAGGAGCCAGAAAGUCUUUCAGUUUAGUGCAGUUUUAAUCAUGGCUUACAUUUCCCGAUUAAUAAUGACAAUAUCAUUAUAAAUGAAAACAGUAAUAAUGAUAAUAAUAAUAAUUACAAAGGACAUUUAGAAAUUUUUCUAAAGUCAAACGUCUCAGCUACUUUAUUUCCAGUUUUCCUCUUUACAUAGAGAUGAAAGGCACUUCUAAGAAGACUGUCCCCCAGGAGAGGCUGGCUUUCACCAGCCGGGGCUGGCUAGACUGUUCCUCACCUCC
rnacentral:lncRNA from 1 species